UCAUGUCACUUUCUUGAUCAACCCCUCUCCCCAUGGCUUUCCACUCAUUCCAAGACAAGCCAAAGACUUACACUGGUGUACAAUUCCUUACCCAAUCUGAUCGUGUUAUCGCUAAAACCCUAUCUCCUACUGUUCUUCUUACUCUGCUUCAAUCUCACUGGCCUCUCCUUUUUGCUGAUCCUCAAACACACCAGGCACAUUCCCUCCCCAGGGCCUUUACCUCUUCAGUUCUCUUGGCCUGGAAUGUUCCUUCCCCCAGAUAUCAACAUAUCUCACUCCUCCUCCAACCCCUGGUCUUCACUUAAACAUCAUCUUCUCAGUAAGAGUUCCCUGACAAAUCUAUUUUAAAUUGCAAUACCAACUCCCCUGCUCCCAAUUCUCCUUUAGUGCCUUAUUAUUAUUAUUAUUAUUAUUUUAGAGAGAACUUACCAUCAUCUGAGACACUAUUUAUUUUAUACCUGUGUUUAUUUCUUGUCUCCCCCUUCUAGAAUAUGAACUUGUUUACUGCUAUAUGUCCAGAGCCUAGAACAGAGCCUGGCACUCAGUAGGCUGGUGCUACUCAGUAAAUAUUUGUGGAGCCAAGGGAUGAAUGCUUUUGGCUGACAAGUGUCAGAUCUGUCUCACCCUUAGCACUGAUCUGAUGGUGAUACAAAUAUGACCUCUCACCCUAGGCCCCAGACAUCUGAUAAAGAGAGGUCAGUCUCACAUUGGAGAGGGACUGGGUGCAUCUGGGGUAAACCUACCCAGUAACAUCCUGAGGCCCAGGACUUCCUGGCUCUACCUACAAUUCUCAGUGUUGGCUGCUGCAGCAAAAUUCUUCCAAGCAACUCCUGCACCUCCCACCCACCAUCCCAGGAGAGUCGCAUCUCAC
rnacentral:lncRNA from 1 species